UUGUCCCUUUUCUCAAG
rnacentral:miRNA from 1 species